rnacentral:rRNA from 1 species
CCUACGGGAGGCUGCAGUGAGGAAUAUUGGUCAAUGGGCGAGAGCCUGAACCAGCCAAGUCGCGUGAGGGAGUACUGCCCUAUGGGUUGUAAACCUCUUUUGUCGGGGAGCAAAAGCCGGACGUGUCCGGCUGUGAGAGUACCCGAAGAAAAAGCAUCGGCUAACUCCGUGACAGCAGCCGCGGUAAUACGGAGGAUGCGAGCGUUAUCCGGAUUUAUUGGGUUUAAAGGGUGCGCAGGCGGAUUUUUAAGUCAGCGGUAAAAUCGUGGGGCUCAACCCCAUCCAGCCGUUGAAACUGGGGAUCUAGAGUGUGCGAGAGGUAUGCGGAAGGCGUGGUGUAGCGGUGAAAUGCAUAGAUAUCACGCAGAACCCCGAUUGCGAAGGCAGCAUACCGGUGCACAACUGACGCUCAGGCACGAAAGCGUGGGUAUCGAACAGGAUUAGAUACCCCAGUAGUC